rnacentral:lncRNA from 1 species
GGAGAAAGGCAAAUGGGCUAAGGAUAGUAGAGGAUCAUUGGAUAUAAGGUUCAGAGGGACCUUAGAGAUCAUCUAGGCUUUCCCAUCUCAUUUUACACCUUCCCUCAUUUUACAGAUGUACAGAGUGAACAACCUACAAGACUAAUCUGAUUGGGAAACAACUAAGAACCUUCUGGUAUUGCCUGGUUGUUCCAGGCUUCUCAACCUCCGAAGAGAUCCAGCCAGCACCCAUGAGACCCCAGCCUUGGGGCCUCAGAGGAGGCUCUGGAAUGAUACUCAGAACUGCUCAUCUGACCUGGAAAAAAGGCAGGAGGGUGGGAGGUGAGAGGUUUGCUUCUCUAGCUGGACUGGACCCCAUGGCUGGGCCCACAGUGAGCUGGGCUCAGUAAAGACGUGUUGACCUACUGAACUCCCAUUUAAAGGAUCCUAGGGGGAGAGAUGGGAAGAUGGAAGACCGGAGUGGCUAUUCCCAGUGAGCAUGCCACUCAUGGGCCCCACUCAUGGCCACUCAUAGGCUAGUAGGGGAAUGAGGUACAUGCGUAAUAAUUAUAAUACAAAAUAAAAUUUGAUACAUGCAUAUGAAAGGUGCA